CCCGAAGUAGCAAAAUACACUCCCUCCCCCGGCGGUCCUGGCCCUCUGGGCAAAAUGUUCACACAGCCCCUCAGGUUCCAAUGCAAGCAUUGUCCAACAAGUUGCAGGUUUCCCAGGGAGCCGAGGAGCAGACAUGAGGCUAGGGCUGGUUUGCCGGGGUCGUUAGGCGAGAUCCAGGCUUUGGAAGUUAUGUCAUAAGCUUUAGACUGGGCUUGACUUGGUGGGCCAUCUCGUUGGCCUUUCUUGAAUGUGGAGCGACGUCCUCAGCGGAGCAGGAAGGCGGAGCGACGUCCUCAGCGGAGCAGGAAGGCGGAGCGACGUCUUCAGCGGAGCAGGAAGGCGGAGCGACGUCCUCAGCAGAGCAGGAAGGCAGAGCGACGUCCUCAGCGGAGCAGGAGCGAUGUCCUCAGUGGCACAGGAAAAUGUAACAACGUCCAUAUAGAACCUGGGUGGAGUGGCAUCCACGGCAGAGUAGGUGGCUACUGUGGGAUUUGAUUGGCCUCCAACUCCAUGACUCUCUGAAAGUAAUCAGACAUGUUUCAGACUGCUCUGUGGAAUAUAACACCACCUGUGACAGCAUGGGCAAAGCUACUUUGGACACUAGUGCAUUUUAUGAGAAGUGUAUACACUGUAGUGACUGUGAUUGGAGUUUGAGGAGGAAGGUAAAUACAAAUGUUAUAUCCCUUUUUUAAUUAAAGUAAGCCAAAAGUUCUAAAUUGAUGUACUCACCGUACUACGCCAUACUAAGUAGUUUUUCUGUACUGUUUUCUUUUUUUCCCACUUGUAGGACGACAGCUUUAUUGAAGAAAUAAAACCAUCUCUACAUGUAGCCAUCAACUGCAGCUUUCCUGAGAUUCGCCUGAAGGUGCACUGUUUCAGCCCAAAGUAUGAGUUUCGGGCUUGCUUCAAGUCUUUCAAUCAAACCAAGGGUGAAACCGGUACAGAAAGCAUUAAUGAAGCAUCUAACCAUCGAAUUUGGAACUUUGUGAUCAUACCUGUGGUACUGUUUCUGGUGGUACUAGUUGUUUUAGCCAUAAUGUGUAAACGGAAAACAAUGAAUGUGAGUAUAACAUGGUGACAUUUUAAAGUAAGUGAAUAUAUUAUUUAAAGCCAUUCACUCAGUUGGUAAAUUUUGUAAUUUAUUAUUUUGCACAG
ensembl:lncRNA